AAAUUUCUCAUUAAAAUGCCUUCAGGGUAAAAGUGUGUUUACUGUAUUAUCAUUCCUGUCACACUGCUUUCUUUGUAGUUUAUGGAAGCUCUUGAUCAGUAACCAUUAGAGACAUUUUGUAAGAAUACUACUAACCCUCGUAUCCUACCUUGCAAUAUAUUACUGUCUUAUGUGAUAUUUUUCUUGGCUUCUUCCUAUAGAUAAACUUGAUAUCAGUCCCUUCAAAUAGUUUUUUGAAUAUAAAAGAAUAGGUAGCAUAAAUAUCUCUUAAACCCACUAUUUCAUUAAGUGGUUUGAUGAAUUUUUCUCUUCCCUAUAUCCAUGAAGCUUGACAGAAGAUUUUGUCUUCAUGCACCAUUAGGUAUUUGUGAGUUUGCAUUCCUAAUGCAUAUAUUGAAACUCUUAACUCCUGCAGAGGGGAACCUUCAUAAUUGUGUCUAUUUCCUGUUUGUAAUUAGUGAGCCCAUUACCCUUCAACCACUUGAUAUUUAAGCCUACCAUUUAAGAUAAUUUCCCAGGCAAGGCAGUGAUGUUUUGGAGAAAAGUGGAGCAAUAAGCUUUCUCUUGGGUCUUGAGAUUAGAGUCACAACUGAGAUCACUCAUUCAUUCAUCAAUGAUUCACUUAUUUAGGAAGUGUUUGUUAAAUACAGGCUAUGUGUCAGACACUGUCCCUGGUGUUUGGAAUGGCUUAGUGAUAAACUAGACAGACCUGUUCUUGGCUCAGUAUGUGUGUGUGUGUGUGUGUGUGUGUGUGUGUAAUAUAGAUAAAUGGGUAUUGCUAUAAAUAAAUGAAUGAGUUCUAUGAGAGAUAGUAGUCAAAUAGUGGAUUUUGAAUUUGGAGAUCCAUGAAUACCUCUCUGAAAACUUAAAUAUUGAGAGUUAACCUGAAACAAGCAUUACCUUGGCGAGGAGUUGAGAUGAUGAAUAUUCUAGGACAUGAGCUGGGAAAGAAUUAGUAUGUUAAAAUAAUUGAAAACAGGCUAGUGUUACUAGAUUAUGGUAAGCAAGGGAGAUAGUGGCAUGAAAUGAAUUUAGAGAAUGGACAGCAAGUUAAUUCAUAGCUUUUAGGACAAGUUAAAGGUGUUUGUUUUUUGUUGAACUUAUUAUGGGGAGCAAUAAAAAGAUUUUAAACAGGAUGUGAUUCGUGUUUUUUAAAGAUUGCUUUGAUUCCUUUGAGGAGAAGGAAUAGCAGAGGAUGAGAGAGGAAGCUGGGAGAUCAGUUAGGAGCUUUUUUAAAUCGUUGAGGUGAAAUGUUAAGGUAAACUGAACCACCAGGGUGACAGUAGAGAUGUAGGAGAUCUAGAUGAUUAAGAAAAAAUUUUGGAGGUGUAAUCAGUAAAACCUGAUUGAUUUAUUCUAACCUAUCAGAUAGGUUGAAAGUAAGUGACUUCUGACUGUAACUGAUGGGUGAAUUUGAGGUGCUGUUUCCUGAGAUGGAAAAGACAGGAAGGAACAGAUUUUAGAACAAACAUAAAGAAUAACAGAAUAGGGGUGCCUGGGUGGCUCAGUUGGUUAAGCACCUGACUUUGGCUUAGGUUAUGAUCUCACAGUUCGUGAGUUCAAGUGCUGCAUGGGGCUCUGUGCUGACAGCUCAGAGCCUGGAACCUACUUGGGAUUCUGUGUCUCCCUCUCUCUCUGUCCCUCCCCUGCUCACACUCUGUCUCUAAAAAUAAAUAAAUAUUGAAAAAGAAAAAAAAA